rnacentral:rRNA from 1 species
AUGGAACUUGGAUGCUACCUCACAAAAACAUGUUAUGUGUCAUUAGGUAUGAAGACCAACGCGACCAAGCGGCUAAAGGACACCCCAAAGGAGGAGGAGAAGCACCCCAAGGCCUCGAAGAAGGAGAAGGAGCCGAAGAAGAUGAAAACAACACCUUCCAGGCAACCCCGUGCGCACGGGCCCUCCAGACCCCGUGCCCACGGGCCACCCAGAGAGCUACUGGAAACGAGACUCAUGACCCCGUGCGCACGGCCUCCAGACCCCGUGCGCACGGGCUCCCGCUGCUGUAGCACCCCAUGCGCACGGGCGUGUACCGUGCACAAGGGACUCCCGCGUGCACGUGCCCAACUUACCCCGUGCGCAUAG